CAAGCGGUGGAGUAUGUGGUUUAAUUCGAUGCAACGCGAAGAACCUUACCUGGUCUUGACAUCCCGGAGACCCUUAGGAACUAGGGGUGCUUCCAUCUGGAAGAAUCUGGAGACAGGUGCUGCAUGGCUGUCGUCAGCUCGUGUCGUGAGAUGUUGGGUUAAGUCCCGCAACGAGCGCAACCCUUGCCUUUAGUUGCCAGCAGUUCGGCUGGGCACUCUAAAGGGACUGCCGGUGUUAAACCGGAGGAAGGUGGGGAUGACGUCAAGUCCUCAUGGCCUUUAUGACCAGGGCUACACACGUACUACAAUGGCCGAUACAAAGGGCAGCGACACUGCGAGGUGAAGCCAAUCCCGUAAAAUCGGUCUCAGUCCGGAUUGGAGUCUGCAACUCGACUCCAUGAAGUUGGAAUCGCUAGUAAUCGUGGAUCAGCAUGCCACGGUGAAUACGUUCCCGGGCCUU
rnacentral:rRNA from 1 species